CAAAUCUGUCUGUCUUCAUGUUUUUUGGACAGUUUAAGUUCUGUUCCAGGCUUCGUGUGUUCUCAUUCUUGUUUAUUAGUUUUGUCCUUUGGUCAUUUCUGAGUUCCUUGCACUCUUCAAAAUUUGGAACUUCUUGUUAUUAUUCUUUUAAAUCAUUAUUCAUUCCUUAGUUUUAUUUUUAAUAUUAGAAUUUUAAAUCAGUAUUCAAUCUGAACCUUUCUUCAAUACAAACUGCAUACUGUAGCUCUGAAACUGUAGCUGACAUGGUUCAGUCUUCUAUUUAGUUUUCAAUCAUAUAAAUGUAUUUCAGAUCAACAUUGAGCAGUUAGUUUUGUAGAACCACGUAAGCAGAAUUUCUUAUUAUUUUCAACGUUGUUGCUGGAUAAGCAAUGGUCAGCACAUCACUGUUUUUUAAUUCAUGUGGUUUUCUAUAGUCAUUAUUUUUGUAGGAGAUCAUUUGUAAGCCAUGGUUUGUUUCAUUUAGUCUUUUUGUCCCUUUAGAGGAUUUCAACAGUUUUUUAGGUCAGUCAUAUAGAGAAGGGAAGGCCGGGCAAGGGUAGCACUGCAAGUUCCACAUUGCGGGCUCGUGGUAGCUAGGAUAGAUUUUUUUUCUGUAGGAUGAUUUAUAGAUGGGGGUUCACUAUAUGCGAUCAGGAGGAUAGUUAUAUCUAGCAAGUGCGCCAGGUAGCAAAUGAGGACGCUGUGUCCCAGCACUUGAUCGAAACUAGAGGUAAAUUAACACAACUCUUGAUGUAUUUGUUUGAGAUAAUGCUUAACUAUUUGUUUUCUUUUGUAAUUCCCUCUUAUUGAUUCCAUCUUUCCUCUGUUGGGUUAGUCCACACCAUGGUUGCAGAGGAGGACCAAGUAGUAGCAUCCGGAUUAUCAGGAGAAAAAAGCAAGGACCAACGACAAAAAGCAGAUCGGGGAAAGGAAAAACUGCAUUGACAGAUAAGCUAGGGAGAUCAGAUCAUAUUGUCCUCUUGAUUGAAUCAAUCUGGUAUUCUUUUCUCUCUCUGCUAUUAACUAUGCUUCAAGGUGCAGUUCUCUUCUUAGUUGAUUCCGUUGGUACGGUGCUAAUUAAUGUCAGUGGAUAUGCCUCAGUGAUAUGUUGAACUACUUGGGAAGAAACUAAGCUGGCGCCUAUUAGCAACAUGCAAAGCAAAACAUUACCUACUGACUGACUGGCUAUGUAUAUUGCUUUCACUGUUCGAUCUUACAUUCAAUAGAAUUGCAUGAUUUGGACAACUAAGUUAGCAGCGCUACGCUACUUGAUACGCUUAAUAAACCCAGCUCUAGUCUCAUCUAGUUUAAAUCUUUAUGUGAGCAGGGGGAAGGGAGACAUCCUCAUCCUGCUGCUGCUCGGCCUGGUGGCAUCGAACUACAUGCGUGAAUGCAGUAGUAGUAUGGGCUGGCUGGUGCUGGAUGAUGGAAAGCUAUGGAAUCUGAACAUUUUGCAGAACUGACCCCCGCUUCGACGCCGAAAAGGUCGAAGGGAUCAAGCGCCUCCACGUCUCCCCACAGGUUCGCUUCGGUUCAUCCUGUCCUCUCACGCCGUGGAAAUUCGGACUGGUUUGUUGUUCGCAUUCAGCACCGGUGGUCAAGGUGGUCAAGAGAGAACGUGGCGGCGCAGUCGUUGGAGGUGAAGAAGCUCGUCUACUCCUGCCUCCUGUACUACCCCGAGAAGUAAGAUAGCUAAGCCCCCCCUCUCAUCUGCAACUCCGAAGUGGAACACGGUUCAUGUGGUCGUUUGUUGUGUGGAACAGGAGAAACUAUACGUUGCAAAUUUGUCCAUGCUUGAAUUGCUCCAAGCAAGAAUGUAUUGGCAUUGCGUAUUUGAUAUGCAAAGAGAUUUUUUUCACAUGCUUAUGCUUGAAUCUUUGUCAACUAUUGAGUUUUGAAUAUGAAUGUUAUUUAUUCCCGACUUUCCAUGAUUGGGAUGUGCCAUUGGAAGUGGUUAACUCGCUGGUUAUAAAAGUUUUCUUGUUGCUGCUGGCACCAAGACUAUUGAAUUUUCUAUCAUGAUGCUCAAAUUUCUUUCUUGUGUACAGUCACGAGAUAUACUGUCUUUAUUGUCUACCGAACUCGAAAUAACAAGCAAUUUUUGUUUCUCUCAUGUACAUAUGAUGAUAUGAGCGUCUGUCCUUCAUAGAUUGUUUCCUAGUAUGGCCAUUAAUCUUAAUCUACAUGUGUGGACAGGAAAGAAGUCUACAUUUGGAGGAUCUCAGAGGGGAUAUAUGGCCAUCGGGGAACUAAAUGCCGAAGUUUGAUCUUUCAGAGGGUGGAGCGAUCCUAGUUUGACCGAUGGAGCUUGUAGCGCCACGCUGCCUAUGAGUAGUCCGGUUUAUUAUGAAAUUUUUAGUAUAUUUAAGAAGUAUUGAACUUGUAUUAUUAGGGUUGUCAUCACCAUACCGGCACCCGUAUCUGUAGAAUAUAUGAUACUUGUUGUAUGUUGUUGUUGAACUCGCAAUAGAAGAAGAGAGUUUGAUGCUUUAAUUAAUC